GCAUCUUUCAAUAAUAUACAACAACGAUUAGCAUCGACACUGUGUGCUUAUUAUCGUCUGAUGGAAUCCAGAUUGGAGUCACAUUCCAUAACGCGUGUCAAAACAAUAACGCGGGAAUCGAACUUAAAUAUAUAGGGUUGAUAGUCUUUAUCCCUAAGACCCAUCAUCAUCUCUUUCUCCCUAUACACGAAACUCUGAAAUUUAUUCAACAGACUUUCGCUGACAAUUUUGUGUUAACGCCUUACGGCAUCGUGAAUUGCACUUUCAGCGCACAAUUUUAAUUUCAACGUAACCCCUCGUUGGAAGAACCCUGGGUGAGGGCCGCCGUAUGUAUCCAUGCAUAUGGAACAAUUUCUUGGCUUACUAUCCCCAUAUUGGAAUGGUAGUAGAGUACCAGUAUAUUUUAUCGAUUUCCUCUGCUUGGUAUGAAUAUAGAGGUUCUAGCGUCAGAUUCUAGGCAGGUCUACUUAACUGAGAAAAGGACAGAGUCCAUGAGCUAAAUUUCGUACGUGGCAAAGUAAAUUUCUUUUGACCUUGUCCUUGCUCGAUAGCACAGUUGGUAAAUGCAUAGUGGUGGUGCUAGCGUCUGCAACAAAUUCUGUAAAAUAUUUACUUCAAAACAAUCAGAACGGAUUGCAUAAUAUAAUAUGGUGUCAUUGUGAAUGCAUUACGAACAUGACAUUGCAGGACGAGUUCAUCAUAACAGCAUUGCUCUUGUCAAAGCCGCAAUGGCAACUCUGGCCCUGAUGGAAGCCAAAUUACGAAAGGCGCCAAAAUAUAAAUAGUUUUGAAAUAGUUUCAUUCUUGUUUACAUGACAUUGAAUGGGUGAGUGCAGUCGGGUUCGAGUUGGUGUUCUAGUGCAAAAUAGGUGUCCGCAUGUCAGUUUCAUCAAUGAUUCAUGCUCUAAGUCGAAUAUAUAUCUCUCAAGCGUGGGAAACAUGAAGUUCGUAUCAGACUCAACACGGUAAAUAAAUAGCACUCUGCUUAUCGUCGGAUGAUUUUGUCCCUGAGUAAAGAGCAAAGUUCGGAUCGACAAUUGUGAAAGACAAACAUACUUUAUAACGCUCCCGAAGGCAUGUCCCAAAACAAUAAGUUGCAUAAUCUGCAUUUUAUUAGUCAUAAAUAGUAUAUAUAUCGAACGCCCGAUCCUCGUCAUUCAUAUUGCGCAUGCAUUAGAUAUUGAAGUGGAGAUAGUAGACUUUCGAUGCCCAUUGGCUAGCUGUGACCUAGGGGCUCUAAAAUAAGUGAGGAUUGGUAAUUUAAUUCCCGUCAGAUAGUUUACCACAUAUACUGUAUUUAGAUUUUUAACUUGUUUUGGCACCAUUCAUUUCGAAAUAAUUUUAGAUAUUUCAUAUUUAUAUUCGUGUGGCAACACACCACGCCUAGCCUACUUGGAUAUUAGAAAUAGCCGUAAACGAUCAGAUUUUAUUUGAAAGGCUCGAAUGAAAGGAUAUAGCUAGGGAUUUAAAAAUUCUGCCGUACAUAAUCUCUUUUUAAGCCUUCUCUUUACUGCAUACAUAAACCAAACGCGGAGCCAAAAUAAUUGCGAUGUAAAUAAUAAUAAUAUAUAUAUAAAAUAAGUAGUAUUUCAUGGUGUAAUAUUCCUCAUUUCUCUUUUUGUCUAAAUCACAGGAAUUACGAGCAUAUAUUUUUAUUAAAAGACAAAAACAUUUAUAAACUCAAAUAAUGAAGAAGACGAUAAUAGCAUUAGCAUUAUUUGCUAUGUUUGCAACUGUGAAUAGCAUAUUUACUCGUCUUUUCACUGGAGAAUGCGUGACGGAAUGCGAGAAUGUUGACACAACCCUUGGAUGUCCUUCCUAUGAGGCUAUGUUGGAAAAGGAAGGCAGUAAUCCAGGAGCGUUGUGCAUCUUUUGUCUUUAUAGAAAUGGAUGUGGUAGGUACAUUGUUACACAUUUUGUGCUUGAUACGGACAUCUAUGAUAGAUUUAUAGUAGCAGCAUAUUAUGCUCUAUAAAAUGUUAACCCCUUUUUUUAAACAAAUUUUUUUUAUAUCUAUUUCAAUCGGUUCAAAUAGUCACCGAACUCAAUUUUCAAAUUGAAAAAGCAUGGCUUUGGUAAACACUUUAAAUUAUGUAUAUAACAUAUGAUUAUAGGUUUUGAUUUGGGAUGCUACCUGGCGAAGUGGGAUCUCUGCACCGAUUGUGACAUCGAAGUAUUGGAUGGAGCUGAAGAGUGCGUAAAAUGCGUUAAAAAAUGCGAAAAAAAGGUGUCUUCAGCCUAAUUGAAAAAUAUAGCUUGUCGUGGCCAUACAAGACGCUGGAUAUACAAGAUAAUUAUAUCACCCCAAAUCGCUGAUUGACUAUGUAUUACGAGAGAAGAAGAUCAAGAAAAUGAACACUAAGAAGACAAUUUAUAAUUCUUCUCGACUUGUCUAUAUCAUGUAAUCACUAUCUGACAAAUAUGAUCGAUAUAUACCCAUCAUAACUUUCCUUUGCAAUAAUACAAUAAUUCAUAUUUAAUUGCGGUAAUUGUAAUUGCUUUCCUGAUUUUUGUUAUGUGAAUAAUUUAGUUUGUCAUGAAUAAGUAAUCGGGCAUCAUUUAAAGUGUUUUUGAAUGCCACGUAAAAUUUCAUGGAAUUUCGGAAUUUUUCAAGCAUUUAUUUCACGAAUAAAUAUAUUAUGUCAUUAUUACCACAAUCGAGUAUGAUCUUCAAUCGAACUUUACUAACAUGUUUUGAAAUGUAAUAAGCUUAAUUAUAUCUUGUAAAGAACACGUACAUUUGUAGUUCAGCGAUUCUUAUUUUUCCUACAGUACAGAUGUUUCGUUGUGUAUUGGGCAAGGACAAUUUUCAACAUUUUCGAAGUCACAUGUAUUAGUAUUUAAAACACGAGUUUGAUUGUUCAAAAAAUCUGAGGAAUUACUUGGGAUUGGAGUUCUCAAGCCAUAGCAUUUGGAACAGUAAUGGUUUGUGCCUGACAAAAUUGUGGAUGGAUAUCCAGAAAAAACACGCAUAACAAGACAUAGAAAUACAAAUAUCACAACAUAUCCAAAUAUUUGAAAUUGGCUUUUCACAUGAAGGGCAAUGUUCCAGAGAAGCCAUUUUAUAACAGUUAUAAAAUAUCACCUACUUUGAAGACAGUUUGUCUAUUCCAAUUUUUGAGGAUCAUCAAGCUUUAUUGUACAGUUAUUGGAAUUCUAGAAGCAUCUUUGUGUUUUUAAUAUGGUUGUUCCCAUUUGUAGUCCAAAGUCGUUCAUAUUGAUUGGUUUUCCUUGCCAAUCGAGCAUUAUAUAUAUAGUAGAUUAUUCCUAAAAUCAGUUAACGUUUCAUUGAUGUACAGAAAUUUCAUUCCUGAGACUUCAAUGCUUGAAAUGUUGCAUUUUUUUAUCCAAAAACUCGUUCCUUUUAUUUCUCUUUAUGAAGCGAACUAUAAUAGAGGGAACCUUGUCUUGUCUCUCCUCAAAGUCUGUGAGAAAAAGAGAUGUCCAGUCUCUCCAUUUUUAUAUUGAGAAGCUGGCCCAUUUUCAUGCUGAUGUCAUCAGUGUUUUCUCCUUCACUGUACGGAAUGCCGUGAAAUUCCAAAUUUUCUGGUCUUUUAUAUUGCGAUAAAUGCUCAAAAUCUUUAUCGAAUCUACGUUGAAAUGACAAUACCAAAUUUUCAAGAGUUUUAUGUGAGGCCGAUAAUUUCUCAAGUUUGUUGUGUAGUUCCGCGGAGUAACCUUUUUUUUAAUUUAGAACUCCGCAUUUAUGAAGUCCUGGCUGGCUUGCACCAUUUCAACAUUAUGUUGUAGGAAUGUAGGGUAUUAUUUGUAUCCUGAAUGUCACUCACUUCUUCCAUAAGUUUAUCAACGCACCCAUCAGAUCUCCACUGUGCUUGAACAUAACGUCGAGUCGUUCUGACAUUUGUUGGGUAUUAUUAAGGACAGGUUCAUUGAUUUGGGUAGAUAUCUUUUGGUCGUGUUCAUUGAUGGAGUCCUCCAAAAGAUCUUUGAUGGUGUCUUCUACCAUAGCGUUAAACUUGAAUUUCAAACUUUUUGGUAUUCUUUUUUCCAUUAAAUCCAGGGUUUUCUUGAGUUCGUCAAAUUUUCUAUCCGUUUUAUCAAAUUAUUGCUUAGUGAAUUACGGUAAUUAUUUUAGGUUUAGGUGUAUCUGCGAACCUUAAUAAACAGCGACUCAACGCGGUAAAUAAAUAGCACACCGCUGAUAAUCGGAUGAUUUUAUCCCUGAGCAAAGAAUAAAGGUCAAAUCGAUAAUUGUAAAGACAAACAUACUUUAUAACGCGUCCGAAAGAAUGUCCCACAACAAUUGGUUGCAUAAUCUGCAUUUUAUUAGUUAUAAAUAGAAUAUAGCAGACACCCGAUCACCUUCGUCAUCCAUAUUAAGCAUGCAUUAGGUAUUGAAGUGAGUAGAAUUUCGAUGCCCAAAGGCUAGCUGUGACCUCGGGGCUCCAAAAUAAGUGAGGAUUGUUAAUUUAAUUCCCGUCAGAUAGUUUACCAUAUAUACAUAUAUAUAUUGAUUGUUAGUUUUAACUUGUUUUGACACCAUUCAUUUCAGAAUAAUUUCAGAUCCUUCACAUUCGAAUAUAUUCGUAUUCAGGUACCGGUAAUUAGUAAGCACACCAGGUGUAGCCUACUUGGAUAUUAGAGAUAGCCGCAAACAGUAAUAUUUCAUUUGAAAGGCUUGAUUGAAAGGAUAUAGUUAGGGACUUAAAACUUUUGUCGUACAUAAUCCCAUUCUGAGCCUUAUUUUUAAUGCAUACAUGAAAUAACCGCCGAGCCAAAUCAAUUGCGAUGUCGCAAAUAUAUAUAUAUAUAAAAUAAGUAGUAGUUUUUCAUGGUUUAAUAUUCCCUGUUUCUCUUUUUUUCUAAGCACAGGAAUUACGAGCUAAUCUUUUUAUUGAGAAACAAGAUCCUUUAUAAAAGCAAAUAAUGAAGAAGACUAUAGCAUUAGUAUUAUUUGCUAUGUUUGCAACUGUGAAUUGCAUAUUAUACCUCAUCAAUCCAACGGCUUUUCGACACAUUUUUACUCUGAUAUGCUCGAAGCAUGAUGAUGUACGCUGGUCGAAAAGUACUGCUCCUGCUCGGAAAACGUUCCAUAAGGUCAGCAAAAAUAAUCAGAAUGAGUCCCUCGUCCGGACCCAAGCUUUGAAGAAAAACAGUCGUUCCAACAGCGGUAAUGGUUCUCACGGGAAAAUGCGUGAUUCAAUGCGAGAAUGAUGACACAACCCUUGGAUGUCCUCCCUUUCAGGAUAUGUUGAAGAAAGGAGGUUUUCCAGGAUGGCGCUGCAUCUAUUGUCUUUAUGGAAAUGGAUGUGGUCGUAAUUUCGGAUGCUACUUGGCGAAGUGGGAUCUCUGCGACUAUUGUGAUCCAAUCGCAUUGGUUGAAAUUCCAAAUUGCUUAGAAUGCGUCAGAAAAUGCGAAAAAAAGAGAAAAGAGGAUGAGGAAAAUGAACACUAAGAAGACGAAUUAUAAUUCUUCUCGACUUGUCUAUAUCAUGUAAUCACUAUCUGACAAAUAUGAUCGAUAUAUACCCAUCAUAGCCUUUCUUUGCAAUAAUACAAUAAUUCGGCAAUGAGUACUUUCUAGAUGUUUGGCCAAGUACUGAUAAUAUCAUUGGUUCAUAUUUGAUUGCGGUGAUGGUAAUUGUUUUUUGAUUUUUUUUAUGUUACUAAUUUAGUUUGUCAUAAAUAAGCAUUUGGGCAUCAUUUAAUCAAAGUGUUUUCAAAUGCCACGUAAAAUUUCAUGGGUUCCAGAAUUUUCAAGCAUUUAUUUCACGAUUGAAUAUAGUAUGUCAUUAUUAACACAAUCGAAUAUGAUCUCAAUCAAACUUUACUAACAUGUUUUGACAUGUACUAAGCUUAAUUGAAUCUUGUAAAGAACACGUACAUUUGUAGUUCAGUGAUUCGGAUUUUUCCCGUAGUACAGAUGUUUUGUAUUGGGCUCUGUAGUAUGGAGUGUUUUUUUGUUUUGAUUUGUAAUUUGUAAUAGCCAACUGAUACAAAAUUGAGCAAAAGUAAAAUCUGAAUUUGUGUUAGAACGGGGCGCUAUGUUAACUUUAAACUGCCUUCAGUGAUGGCCAUUGAUGAUUGACACCUGCCUUGCAGCUUCUCCAACUACACAGGGAUCGUGAAAUUUUACAGUUCGAUAUUUUUGGGGUAUAAUUAUAUUACCAAGCUUUUUCAUAUUUAGUCUGGAAUAUUGUAGUGUUCGUAAAAUGUUUAGGGUUUCGUGAUAUCGUUACCUUUAUCGUAAAAUUAUAAGAACGAGUAUUUAAAGUUGAUGCUAGAUAGAUAGCACUGUUAGUAGAAUCUGUUUUAGAAUAUGUAAAAAGUUUCCACGUCUUUCAUUUUAUUGUCAGUAUAUUUAAUGGCCGUGUCGGCAGUGAUGAGCCUGAAAAAUCGUAACGACCGUAACGCACCUAAUUCAGGAAAAUGUAUUAUAUUUACAACACGAAUGUGGACGCUUACAGAAAUUUGUGGCCUGUCCUGAGAUAGAGCCGAAGAGCUACAUUAAGAAGAACAUAAAAAAAAUUGUCUGAAAUAUGUUUGGAUAAAAUGACAAGUAUAUUCAUAGCAAUUCAAUACAAAUGUUAUUAUCAAGUCAAAAAUAAC